UUUUCGGAGAGUUUGAUUCUGGCUCAGAACGAACGCUGGCGGCGUGGAUAAGACAUGCAAGUCGAACGAGAUCCUUAGCAAAGCUUGCUUUGCUAAGUCUAGUGGCGAACGGGUGAGUAACACGUGAGCAACCUGCCCAGAAGCAGGGGAUAAGCCACCGAAAGGUGGUCUAAUACCGUAUGUGAUUUCAAGAGGCAUCUCUUGAUGAUUAAAGGGGGGGACCUUCGGGCCUCCCACUUCUGGAUGGGCUCGCGGCCUAUCAGCUAGUUGGUGAGGUAAUGGCUCACCAAGGCAACGACGGGUAACUGGUCUGAGAGGAUGAUCAGUCACACUGGAACUGAGACACGGUCCAGACACCUACGGGUGGCAGCAGUCGAGAAUCAUUCACAAUGGGCGAAAGCCUGAUGGUGCGACGCCGCGUGGAGGAUGACAGCCCUAGGGUUGUAAACUCCUGUCAUGAGAGAGUAAAGACUUAACGUUAAUAACGUUGGGUCCUGAUAGUAUCUCAAGAGGAAGGGACGGCUAACUUCGUGCCAGCAGCCGCGGUAAUACGAAGGUCCCAAGCGUUGUUCGGAAUUACUGGGCGUAAAGCGUGCGUAGGCGGAAUGGUAAGUCAGAUGUGAAAUCCCGGGGCUCAACCUCGGAACUGCAUCCGAUACUGCCAAUCUAGAGUAGUGGAGGGGAGUCUGGAAUUCACGGUGUAGCAGUGAAAUGCGUAGAUAUCGUGAGGAACACUAGUGGCGAAGGCGAGACUCUGGACACUAACUGACACUGAGGCACGAAGGCUAGGGUAGCGAAAGGGAUUAGAUACCCCUGUAGUCCUAGCAGUAAACGGUGCGCGUUUGGUGUGGGCGGGUUCGACCCCGUCCGUGCCGAAGCUAACGCGUUAAACGCGCCGCCUGGGGAGUACGGCCGCAAGGCUAAAACUCAAAGAAAUUGACGGGGACCCGCACAAGCGGUGGAGUAUGUGGCUUAAUUCGAUGCAACGCGAAGAACCUUACCAGGGUUUGACAUGUAAGUAGUACUGAACCGAAAGGGGAUGGACCCGCAAGGGAGCUUACACAGGUGUUGCAUG
rnacentral:ncRNA from 1 species